rnacentral:rRNA from 1 species
UCAGAGAGUUUGAUUAUGGCUACAGAACGAACGCUGGCGGCGUGGAUUAGGCAUGCAAGUCGAACGAGGUAGCAAUACCGAGUGGCGGAAGGGUGAGGAACACGUGAGUAAUCUGCCCCCAAGUUGGGAAUAACAGUUGGAAACGAUUGCUAAUACCGAAUGUGGCUGUUUUUUCUGCAUGGAAGAACAGUUUAAAGAUUUAUCGCUUGGGGAUGAGCUCGCGUCCCAUUAGUUAGUUGGUGAGGUAACGGCCACCAAGACGAUGAUGGGUAGCUGGUCUGAGAGGAUGGUCAGCCACACUGGGACUGAGACACUGCCCAGACUCCUACGGGAGGCUGCAGUCGAGAAUCUUGGGCAAUGCGCGAAAGCGUGAACCCCCAGCAAUGCCGCGUGUAUGAUGAAGGUCUUCGGAUUGUAAAAUACUGUCUCCCGGGACGAAAGAUGACGGUACCGGGGAAGGAAGCCACGGCUAACUACGUGCCAGCAGCCGC